UACGUAGGCAGCGAGCGUUGUUCGGAAUUACUGGGCGUAAAGAGCGUGUAGGCGGCUUGGUAGGUCCGCUGUGAAAACUCGAGGCUCAACCUCGAGAUGUCGGCGGAAACCACUUGGCUAGAGUCCGGAAGAGGAGAGUGGAAUUCCUGGUGUAGCGGUGAAAUGCGCAGAUAUCAGGAAGAACACCUAUGGCGAAGGCAGCUCUCUGGGACGGUACUGACGCUGAGACGCGAAAGCGUGGGGAGCGAACAGG
rnacentral:rRNA from 1 species